UAGAGUUUGAUCAUGGCUCAGAUUGAACGCUGGCGGCAGGCCUAACACAUGCAAGUCGAGCGGUAGAGAGAAGCUUGCUUCUCUUGAGAGCGGCGGACGGGUGAGUAAUGCCUAGGAAUCUGCCUGGUAGUGGGGGAUAACGUUCGGAAACGGACGCUAAUACCGCAUACGUCCUACGGGAGAAAGCAGGGGACCUUCGGGCCUUGCGCUAUCAGAUGAGCCUAGGUCGGAUUAGCUAAUUGGUGGGGUAAUGGCUCACCAAGGCGACGAUCCGUAACUGGUCUGAGAGGAUGAUCAGUCACACUGGAACUGAGACACGGUCCAGACUCCUACGGGAGGCAGCAGUGGGGAAUAUUGGACAAUGGGCGAAAGCCUGAUCCAGCCAUGCCGCGUGUGUGAAGAAGGUCUUCGGAUUGUAAAGCACUUUAAGUUGGGAGGAAGGGUUGUAGAUUAAUACUCUGCAAUUUUGACGUUACCGACAGAAUAAGCACCGGCUAACUCUGUGCCAGCAGCCGCGGUAAUACAGAGGGUGCAAGCGUUAAUCGGAAUUACCGGGCGUAAAGCGCGCGUAGGUGGUUUGUUAAGUUGGAUGUGAAAUCCCCGGGCUCAACCUGGGAACUGCAUUCAAAACUGGCUGACUAGAGUAUAGUAGAGGGUGGUGGAAUUUCCUGUGUAGCGGUGAAAUGCGUAGAUAUAGGAAGGAACACCAGUGGCGAAGGCGACCACCCUGGACUA
rnacentral:rRNA from 1 species